rnacentral:rRNA from 1 species
UACGUAGGGUGCGAGCGUUAAUCGGAAUUACUGGGCGUAAAGGGUGCGCAGGCGGUUCUGCAAGUCAGGCGUGAAAUCCCCGGCUUAACCUGGGAAUGGCGCUUGAAACUACGGACUCGAGUAUGGCAGAGGAGGUGGAAUUCCACGUGUAGCGGUGAAAUGCGUAGAGAUGUGGAGGAACACCGAUGGCGAAGGCAGCCUCCUGGGCCAAUACUGACGCUCAUGCACGAAAGCGUGGGAGCAAACAGG